rnacentral:tRNA from 1 species
GCUGGCGUGGUUCAGUGGUAGAAUCCUUGUCUGCCACACAGGAAACCUGGGUUGGAUUCCCACCAGGUGCA